CAUUAAAUGUUCUGAUCACCUUUCUCUAGAUGAGUCCCCCCCAAAGUCUCGUCCACGCUUUCUCCGAAAGACCCACUUCUCUUAGGCUGAGAAGCCCCAGAACCUGCCUUCUGAUUGCACCCUUGUUGCGAGUCUGACAAACACAUCUGAUAGCUCACGCCCCGGGGGGACAUUGGUCAGUAGCCUUGGACUUCUCAGCUUAAUUGCCCUAGCUUUAAUGCCACUUAAAUCAGAAUGUAAGCACUGAAAGAAUUUCAGGAAUCCGAUGAUAUAAAUUGUAUUUUUAGAGCUGAGAAUGAGUUGAGCUAGUGACACAGUGCAGCGCCUAAAGAUAGAUCUCUUUAGUUUUCCCAUGAUUUAUCACAGGCGAGUUCACAGCAGGUUAAAAUAAUUGAAUGCGCUGAUAGCAUGCAUAUUGGCACGGUUUUAUGAGCAGUCAUUCAUAACAUAUUUGUCACGAAGCAUAGCUUCCAGGAUGGAACCCUGAUCCGCAGGCAGUGUUUUAGCCUCCACGACGCAGUGGAAUUAACUCCUCUGUGGAGCCUGGCCACGUCGUCACGGUGUCCGGCCCCCAGCUAGAGCUGCGGGGAAAAGGAUCAAGGGAAUGACUGGUCCGCCAAACAAACCUGGCAGCAGCUCGUCUAAAGUCAGCGUUGUAGCCUGGAAAAGGCUGGAUGAGCAUUUGCUCACCACUGGACAUAAAAAAUAAUCUGCAUGUUUGAAAAGGAUGCGCUGAACUCGUGACCUGUAAUAAACGGUUAGUGCUUAGUCUUUAAAAUGCAGAAGGAAAAGGAGCUUCCGGGCUCUGGCGGAUCUGAAUGUAGCACCAUUUUUCACAAGUUGUUUUCGCUUUAGCAACUUUACGUGGCUCUCUGUCAAUCGCCAGUCCUCACCCUCGACAGUAACUGGAUUUUUUUAAAAAAUGGUCUAUUUGGUUCCUUCCUGGGGUUUGACUGCAUUUUAAGUUUGCGGUGCUGAGUGGCAUGUUUUAGAUGUGCUUGCCCCCGGGAGCUGAUGAACUUUGCCUUCCACGUCGACAAACCACGAAAGAAGAACCGGGAGAGGCAAGAGUUACUGUCUGGCGAGCCCAGAGUCUGCCUCUGCCUGGAGCGGCGUUUUGGAUACAACUCAUUAUUUGUGGAAAUGGUGUGUUCCACAGGCAAAAAUAGCUUUUUAAAAAAAGAACCAAUCUGUACCCUCCUGAAGUCAUGUCAAAAUGGAUGCAGGGUUUCUCAUGGAAAGGAAAACCAUUUUAUUAUGGCCUGAAGGGUCCUCGUGUACUGGGCCUUGCCACAUGAAGCCUAGUCUAGGAGGCUUUAGGGUCCAGAACAAGCGAAUAGAGGCUUAAUGAUGAGGUAAUGAGAGCAGAGGUCACGGGUGGGAAACAAGUUUUCUAUUUGCAGCCACACAGCCGUGGGAAAGUCUCACCCAGAGACCAUCAACUAACGAAAAAAAAAAAACCAUUGAAAACGGAGAAGAAUGUGGGAACUUUCCCUUACCUGAUCUUAAGCACAGAGGGACACCGGACUUUAAAUAAUAAAAUCAAACCGUAGAGGUCAGCUUCAUAUGAGAAUCAGCAAAGGGAAACACAAAGAGGAGGGGAAAAAGAGGGGAGGGACGCGGAGAAGAGGGAGCUUUUGUAAUUGUUUUAAUCACUGGCCUAUAUUGUUACUCUCCGCAAAGACAUGAAGCACAGAUAGGUUGAGUCACCUGCCUAAAGUCAACACAGCUAGCUGGGAGAGGAGCCGGGAUUUGAACCCCAGCAGCCAGGCUCCAGGGUCUGCCAUGAUGGGGGUGUGAAGGAGGGCUUGGGAAAGCUGAGUGUUCCAGCUCUGACCCCCAUACUGCAGACUGACUAUUUGUAUCCCUUCAGGAUUCAUGUGUUGACAGCUGACUCCUGAUGGGAGGCCGGGCCUUGGGGUGGUCAGGUCACGAGGGCAGAGCCCGCACAAAUGGCCUCAGUGCCUGCAGAAAGGAGGGUCCUUCCGCCAUGUCAGGACACAGUGAGAAGGCGAUUCAGAUAUGGAAUCUUCCAGUGCCUUGAUCUGGGACUUCACAGCCUCCAGAACUGUGAGAAAUAAGUCUCUGUUGUGUCUAAGCCCCUCAGUCUAUACAGUGUUCUGUUUAUAGCAGCCAGACGGGGCUGAGAGCCCACAGAGCACCCAUUCUGAGUCCCCUUCCGAGUCCCAUUCCUACUCCCCUUCCGAGUCGAGCUGCCCACACUCCACUCACACCACUGGCUCUUGGUAGAGCACCUCUGAAUGCCCAGCUCAGCUCAUCGCCCCUCACCCAGGGAUGAGCCCGGCCUAACCCUCCCAACCUAUGUGACCUGGUGUCCUGUCCCUGGGGGGCCUGGUGCCCCAUGUCCAAUAGGAACAUCCAGGAGUUCUCUGCCCACACCUGCCGUCAACACACCUGGCCUGGCGCUUUGAUCAGUUCACGUCCACGUUCCUGUCCUAAGCCGAUGGAGUCCCUGGCGGGAUGUAGCGAGAGAAACACAUCCCGACUUGGAUCUCGGCACUUAGGGUUCAACAGAAACCAGCGCUGAGAGAACGUGUUGAAGAUCAACGGAAACGCAGCUAGUCCUCAGUGAGGACGUGCACAGUGGGGUCAGAGGCCGAUGCUGAAUGGACUCCGUUCCGAUCCCAUCGCUGUCGAAACCUAGAAGUUUCGGCCAAGCCGGUAAACCCUGCGGGACGAACACUCCAGCCUCAGUAGCGGCUGGAUGUCUGCAGGUGGAAACAGCACACAGUGACUUCUUGACUAGAUGGAGGGAUGUUUCCAACCUGAACAUCUGCCUUGAGGAGACUCGACUGUAUUGGGAAAAUGUUGUUUUGUAGAUGAUACACUGUAAAUCACUUCUCUGCCCGAAAAGUUCUAAUCUAAUCACAGGCUUUGCCUCUGGUUCGGAAGACGCGGUCAGGGAGAGGCCUGGGUUUGAGUUAAGCUGUGCUGAGGAAUGGAGUGGAUACAAUGAUGGAACAUCCGGACCUCCCCAGCUCCUGGGAGCAUUGGGGGCCGGUGGGAUCUCAGCUGCAUAUCAUUCAGGCAUUUGCUCCCGGCCGAACAGAAUUGCCCAUGGUUUCAUAUGCUCCCAAGGGGCCCGUGUGUUCACUGCCUGCUCCUUGGAGACAGGGGGGAUGAAAAGGCCUCUCAAGGCAGGACAGCUUUGGAGGAGCACCCCCAUUCCAGAGCAGGCUGGGGUUCAGGACCAGGAGUAAAGAGAGGAAGCCUUGGUUCGUCUCGGGUACCAUAUUUAAGGGGGUGCCAAAGAUCUCAGGAAUCAGGGUGUAUACGAUUUCAAUGCGCCGUUUUCCUUACAUAAUGCAAAAAACAUCCAUGAUAGUUAGCAAAAUUGCAAACCCAGGCUGACCUCAACAGGGCCAGGAUUAGGGUGAGGAGACUAAAGUUAAGUCCUACAGGUGCACGGUGAAAUUCAGACUUCGUUCAAACUUUGUGUAUCGUGGAUUAUUCUUUUUAAUACUAGCUUAAAGCUAUUUAAACGCUGUCUUAAAACCUUACGUAUCUUGUCUGCUGAGUUUUCUGGCACCCCUUACAUAUUACCCCCAGGCAAGACUUCGCCACCUUGGUCCCCGGCUGGGGUCUGCUGGUCCCACGUCAGGGUAGCUGCCCCCUGCCCCCAUGCUGCCUGCUUUCCUCACUCCCUGUA